UCCAUGGUCUUCUGUCCUGUUUUUUCUUUCAAGAACAACCUUAAAACACUGUGACAUGAUUGUGAAAGCUGGACAGUGAAGAAACCUGAUAGAAAAUCAACCCAUUUGAGAUCUGGCACUGGAGAAAAAUUAUAGAUGCUGUGAACUGCUAAAAAAUACAAAUAAAUGGGUCAUAGAACAA